rnacentral:rRNA from 1 species
UUUUUAUCGCAUGGUAGAAAGUAUCAAAGCUUUUGCGGUACAGGAGGGACCCGUGUCUGAUUAGCUAGUUGGUGAGGUAACGGCUCACCAAGGCGACGAUCAGUAGCCGACCUGAGAGGGUGAUCGGCCACAUUGGAACUGGGACACGGUCCAAACUCCUACGGGAGGCAGCAGUGGGGAAUAUUGCACAAUGGGCGAAAGCCUGAUGCAGCAACGCCGCGUGAGCGAUGAAGGCCUUCGGGUCGUAAAGCUCUGUCCUCAAGGAAGAUAAUGACGGUACUUGAGGAGGAAGCCCCGGCUAACUACGUGCCAGCAGCCGCGGUAAUACGUAGGGGGCUAGUGUUAUCCGGAAUUACUGGGCGUAAAGGGUGCGUAGGUGGUUUCUUAAGUCAGAGGUGAAAGGCUACGGCUCAACCGUAGUAAGCCUUUGAAACUGGGAAACUUGAGUGCAGGAGAGGAGAGUGGAAUUCCUAGUGUAGCGGUGAAAUGCGUAGAUAUUAGGAGGAACACCAGUUGCGAAGGCGGCUCUCUGGACUGUAACUGACGCUGAGGCACGAAAGCGUGGGGAUAGAACAGGAUUAGAUACCCUGGUAUUCCACGCCGUAAACGAUGAUGGCUAACCGCCGGCGACAGACUGUCGGUGGCCAAGCGAAAGCGAUAAGCCAUCCACCUGGGGAGUACGUCGGCAACGAUGAAACUCAAAGGAAUUGACGGGGGCCCGCACAAGCGGAGGAACAUGUGGUUUAAUUCGAUGAUACGCGAGGAACCUUACCCGGGCUCGAACGGCACCUGGAUCGCCCAGAGAUGGGCGAGUCUUCGGACAGGUGUCGAGGUGCUGCAUGGUUGUCGUCAGCUCGUGCCGUGAGGUGUCGGCUCAAGUGCCAUAACGAGCGCAACCCUUGCCGCCAGUUGCCAUCAGGUGAUGCUGGGCACUCUGGCGGGACUGCCACCGCAAGGUGUGAGGAGGGGGGGGAUGACGUCAAAUCAGCACGGCCCUUACGUCCGGGGCGACACACGUGUUACAAUGGCGGCCACAGAGGGAUGCUACCCCGCGAGGGGAUGCGGAUCUCGAAAAGCCGUCCCAGUUCGGACUGGAGUCUGCAACCCGACUCCACGAAGUUGGAUUCGCUAGUAAUCGCGCAUCAGCCAUGGCGCGGUGAAUACGUUCCCGGGCCUUGUACACACCGCCCGUCA